rnacentral:rRNA from 1 species
UACGGAGGGGGCUAGCGUUGUUCGGAAUGACUGGGCGUAAAGCGCGCGUAGGCGGAUCGGCUAGUUGGGGGUGAAAGCCCAGGGCUCAACCCUGGAAUGGCCUUCAAAACUCCCGAUCUAGAGUUCGAGAGAGGUGAGUGGAAUUCCGAGUGUAGAGGUGAAAUUCGUAGAUAUUCGGAGGAACACCAGUGGCGAAGGCGGCUCACUGGCUCGACACUGACGCUGAGGUGCGAAAGCGUGGGGAGCAAACAGG